UACGUAGGGUGCAAGCGUUGUCCGGAAUUAUUGGGCGUAAAGAGCUCGUAGGCGGUUUGUCGCGUCUGCUGUGAAAACUCGGGGCUCAACCCCGAGCUUGCAGUGGGUACGGGCAGACUAGAGUGCGGUAGGGGAGACUGGAAUUCCUGGUGUAGCGGUGGAAUGCGCAGAUAUCAGGAGGAACACCGGUGGCGAAGGCGGGGUCCUGGGCCAGUACUGACGCUGAGGAGCGAAAGCGUGGGGAGCAAACAGG
rnacentral:rRNA from 1 species